UUGAACGCUGGCGGCAUGCUUUACACAUGCAAGUCGAACGGUAACAGGCCUUCGGGUGCUGACGAGUGGCGAACGGGUGAGUAAUGCAUCGGAACGUACCCAGAGGUGGGGGAUAACGCAGCGAAAGCUGUGCUAAUACCGCAUGUGAUCUGAGGAUGAAAGCGGGGGACCGAGCAGCAAUGUUUGGCCUCGCGCCUUGGGAGCGGCCGAUGUCGGAUUAGCUAGUUGGUGGGGUAAAGGCCUACCAAGGCGACGAUCCGUAGCUGGUCUGAGAGGACGACCAGCCACACUGGGACUGAGACACGGCCCAGACUCCUACGGGAGGCAGCAGUGGGGAAUUUUGGACAAUGGGCGCAAGCCUGAUCCAGCAAUGCCGCGUGCGGGAAGAAGGCCUUCGGGUUGUAAACCGCUUUUGGCAGGAACGAAACGGUGUCCGCUAAUACCGGGCGCUAAUGACGGUACCUGCAGAAUAAGCACCGGCUAACUACGUG
rnacentral:rRNA from 1 species